AUGAUUUUCACGUGCUGCCUGAGCUAUGUGAAUCAUUAUUUUCAUAUCAGCUUCCUCAAUCUCUCUUCUUUUCAACAUAUUUAACAAAUCAGAAGAAGAUGAUGUUGAUUGAAACGCUUCGGUAUUUGGAGCACUACAAACCAGUUGAACGCCAGGCCAGAAUUGUAGAGCCCCAAAACUUUUUUCCUUGGACUGUAAGUAAAUGUAAAUUCCAGUCUGCCAUGCGAUCUGCUCGAGUUAAAUUGCGUACCAAUCCUAUUAAAACUAAAACAUUUUUCCAGUAAUUAAAAAGAUUGGAUUCAUCGCAUCUUUUAAGAAUGAAUUGAAUGAAUAAGAAUGAAUUGAAAUGUUUUAAAAUCUACUAAGAAGUUUUUGUGGUCUCUCUCAUUAAUAGCAUGUGCUUCUUCCAAAUUUUUUUCAAGAAAUGUGUCUUGUAAAAUUGGUCUUGAAAUUUGGUCUGUACUUUUCGCAUAUUUCGGCUUACGUUUCGCAUUACGCUGCACACCCUCACUUAAAAUGCACAAAAUGUUUUUUAAAUACUAUUAGGAUCAUUUACAAACUUAUUUAGAAUUUAAACUACGGCCCCAAUUAAAUUUAAAGCACAUAACAUGCAAUUUUAAUGCAUCAGAUUAAAAACGUCCAUAUAAAAUGCAUUGAAAAGUUGGAAAAACUUAAUGUGCCAGAAUCUUGAGAGGUAACAAACCAAAACAUGCUUAGAAUGGACUAAAAAAACAUUAUCAAUUGUAAUAUUGCGGGGAGCUCUCAAAAACACAGGAUCUUAGCUAGCGGUUGUAUUAUAUUGGUUUAAGUAAAUUCUAAGUAUGAUACAAUUAUUUUUUUAAUAAUCGAUAAUAAUAAUUGUUAUUGGUUUAACUUCAUCGUUAUAUGAAAAUAAAAGUUUAGAUAAAAAAGUAA